CCGGUGAGUGAAGAAGGCCUCGGGUUGUAAAGCUCUUUUGUCAGGGAAGAAACACCGGCUCUAACACAGUCCGGGAAUGACGGUACCUGAAGAAUAAGCACCGGCUAACUACGUGCCAGCAGCCGCGGUAAUACGUAGGGUGCGAGCGUUAAUCGGAAUUACUGGGCGUAAAGCGUGCGCAGGCGGUUAUACAAGACAGGCGUGAAAUCCCCGGGCUUAACCUGAGAAUGGCGCCUGUGACUGUAUAGCUAGAGUGUGUCAGAGGGGGGUAGAAUUCCACGUGUAGCAGUGAAAUGCGUAGAUAUGUGGAGGAAUACCAAUGGCGAAGGCAGCCCCCUGGGAUAACACUGACGCUCAUGCACGAAAGCGUGGGGAGCAAACAGGAUUAGAUACCCUGGUAGUCCACGCCCUAAACGAUGCUGACUAGUUGUUCGGGAUUUACAUCCUGAGUAACGUAGCUAACGCGUGAAGUCAGACGCCUGGGGAGUACGGUCGCAAGAUUAAAACUCAAAGGAAUUGACGGGGACCCGCACAAGCGGUGGAUGAUGUGGAUUCAUUCGAUGCAACGCGAAAAACC
rnacentral:rRNA from 1 species